UGACCAGACUCCUACGGGAGGCAGCAGUGAGGAAUAUUGGUCAAUGGCCGGAAGGCUGAACCAGCCAAGUCGCGUGAGGGAAUAAGGCCCUAUGGGUCGUAAACCUCUUUUGUCAGGGAGCAAAGGCGUCCACGUGUGGACGAGAGGAGAGUACCUGAAGAAAAAGCAUCGGCUAACUCCGUGCCAGCAGCCGCGGUAAUACGGAGGAUGCGAGCGUUAUCCGGAUUUAUUGGGUUUAAAGGGUGCGUAGGCGGAGUGUCAAGUCAGCGGUAAAAUUUCGGGGCUCAACCCCGUCGUGCCGUUGAAACUGUGUCCCUUGAGUGCGCGAAGGGUAGGCGGAAUGCGUGGUGUAGCGGUGAAAUGCAUAGAUAUCACGCAGAACUCCGAUCGCGAAGGCAGCGUACCGGCGCCAGACUGACGCUGAGGCACGAAAGCGUGGGGAUCGAACAGGAUUAGAUACCCGCGUAU
rnacentral:rRNA from 1 species